rnacentral:tRNA from 2 species
AAAAAGAUAAGCUAAAUAAAGCUAUUGGGUUCAUACCCCACUUAUAAAGAUUACUCUUUUCUUUUUA